CGGCGCGGGCCUCCUCGCGUACGGCGUUCACCUCUCCUACGCCCACGUCGAGCCCCAGCGGGCGCGCACGCUCGCCCGCGACCAGUUCGUCCGCGACUACCUCCGCAGGAAGUACGACAAGGAUCUCGGUCCCCCGAGACCCUCGUCCGGCUGAAUUUCUCGGAGGCCACCAUGGCUUUGGUGGCCCCCGCCAACUCGGGCAGCGGCCCGGUGGUUGCGGUCGCAGAGGUGGAGAUGAACGCCGGCGCCGACCAGGGUGCCACCACAGUGCGUGCCACUGUCGUGCAGGCUGGCACGGUGUUCUACGACACCCCUGCAACUCUCGAUAAAGCAGAGAAACUGACAGCUGAAGCAGCUGGAUAUGGUUCACAGCUAGUUCUCUUUCCAGAAGUCUUUGUUGGUGGCUACCCUCGCGGAUCUACCUUUGGACUGACUAUUGGCAAUCGAUCUGCCAAGGGGAAGGAAGACUUCCGGAAAUAUCAUGCAGCUGCUAUAGAUGUUCCUGGUCCAGAAGUAACCCGUUUAGCUGCAUUGGCUGGAAAAUACAAGGUUUUCCUGGUGAUGGGGGUGGUUGAAAGGGCAGGGUACACACUGUAUAAUACAGUGCUCUUCUUUGAUCCUCUGGGGAAAUACCUAGGGAAACACCGCAAGCUCAUGCCUACCGCACUGGAACGAGUAUUUUGGGGGUUCGGAGAUGGAUCUACUAUACCUGUUUAUGAUACUCCACUAGGGAAGAUUUGUGCUGCCAUUUGCUGGGAAAACAGAAUGCCACUUCUCAGGACAGCAAUGUAUGCCAAAGGUGUUGAGAUAUACUGCGCCCCAACUGCUGAUUUCAUGCCUAGUUGGCAGGCCUCCAUGACGCACAUUGCCGUUGAAGGAGGAUGCUUUGUACUUUCUGCAAACCAGUUCUGUCGCAGAAAGGACUAUCCUCCAGCACCGGAAUAUACCUUUGAUGGCCUAGAUGAUGAGCCAUCCCCAGAAUCUGUUAUUUGUCCUGGAGGAAGUUCUAUCAUCUCACCAUCUGGAACAGUUCUGGCAGGUCCAAACUAUGAAGGCGAGGGCCUCCUCACAGCUGACCUGGACCUUGGCGAAAUUGCUCGAGCUAAGUUUGAUUUCGACGUCGUAGGACACUAUUCACGACCUGAGGUUCUGAGCUUGACCGUGAAAACCGAUCCAAAGCUGCCCGUUUCUUUUACUUCUGCUGCAGAGAAAACUUCCGCCGCAAAGAGUGAUGACGUCUCUAGGACCUGAUGAGACCACAAAUCUUCCACCGCCGUGUAUAUUAAAGUUGUCAGCUGGCCAGUGUUGGAUCACUGAAAUUCAGAAGUUUCAGCCCAAAGUUCAGAGUUUCAGUGUUUCAAUGUAAAGUUCAGAGUUGAAGCUAAACACUGUUAUGGAGAUCGGACGGCUGAGGAAGAAGGAUAAAAAGGUGGACGAAUCCAGACCGUUAUUUAUUUGCCUUACGUCCACUGUUGUCGUCUAGUGUCGUUUUACCGUUUCUCUCUGCUUUAUCUUUUCUACUUGUGGCAAAAGCUUGAAUUUACUCAUGUAAAAACUCUGGAGCUGUAAUUCUUAUGGGUUAAGACCCAUCCUGGAAUGGAAAGGAAUCAUCGAUGCUCCAUACUUUCUUCUCAUUAGGUUAGGCGAGCCUAUUAUGUGCUCCAUCUCAAGUCACGUUAGCAGAAAAAACUCCUUGUACAAAGGACA